AAAGAAUGAAAUGUCGCGCGGCAUGUGCAUUCACUGACACAACUCAAGACGGCGACAUCACCGCGUCAAUCAUCGGCGCGUUCUGGAUUCCUACGCGGUACUCCGAAGGUCUCACCGUCGCGUCCGAUCGGUCUUCCUCGCUCAGUUCACAACGCCUCGACACAAGUUCGCAUGAAGAAUCCGGUACGGCGGUUCCGAUGCUCGUGCCUUCAAUGAGCCGAUUUGAAAGCUGAAAAUCCAGCGUCGUCACUGCGAUAUGGCUUUCGAGAAUUCCUUCAUCGAGUCGGAAGGUGGAUUAUCCAAAUCGCAUCACCAUGGUGAGAUGCAUCGAGGUGCCACUCCGUCUGUGCUCUAUGAUUCUUGCCCUCAACGUUCAACAGCAAACAGAAAUCCAGAUCAAGUUUAAACAAUUGCCGUCUUUACCGCGUUCGAUAUUAAUUGACGGUGAAUCGUAUGGCGCAUCAGAAGAAACGUAUCACAGAUUGAGUCGAGAUAAACUCACCGAAUUUUAAAUUUGGCACGGCGGUUCUCCGGUAAUUGGUAGGUUGAACAUUGUGGAUGUAAUGAAGAAAACUUGGUGGCCAAAGAUGAUGAAUUGAAGCGCAGAAUGAAAAACAGAUUAAUAUCCGAUGCGGAAUGACGAAAACUGGGUGCAGAAUUGUGGAUUUUAGAUGCAGAAGAAAACGGUUUGAUGCAGGAGAAGCAGGCGAAUGCUGAAACAGAAGGUGAAGACCGAAACUGAAUGGAGAAAAUUGCAGCAGAAUAAAGAAUGGUUGAAGAGUGAAAGGUGAAGAACAAUGAAUGCUGAAGAAGAGAUUGAAGAAGAAAAUCCCAGAAGAUUGGUUGGAUUAAAAUGCUUUGUUUGGCAAUGAUGCAUAGAUAGUGACACUUAAAACCAUUAUGCAAAAUGAAGAGGAGCUUUGCGAAUAGCUUAAUGGAUGAUGUUAGCUCAGUUAGGUUUAGAAAACUCUGUUAGUAUGCCGGUUUGAACUGAAGGGAAAAACGCCACACAUUCAGCAUGUUGGAAUUCUGAGUUUUGAAAUGUCAAUUAUAAAUCGAUUUUGCAGGCCCACGGUAGAUUGAAACUUGGUAUUGGCAUGCUUGGAAAGAGGAAUUAGAAUUUAUGGCAAUGUUUUGAGCAUGUAACCUAUUGUUGGAAUUGGUUUCUAACUUGUAAUUUCUGUGAUUUGGAUGGAAUCAUAUUAUAAAAGUCAAUGAAUUGUAUUGAAUGGUUGAAUGUGAUGAAUGAUAUAAUUUGAAAUUAUGGAAA